GUUGAACGCUGGCGGCAGGCCUAACACAUGCAAGUCGAGCGAGCGGCGGACGGGUGAGUAAGGUCUGGGAAACUACCCUAUGGAGGGGGGUAACUACGGGAAACGGUAGCUAAUACCGCAUACUAUCGGAUCUGCCCAGGUGGGAUUUGCUAGUGGGUGUGGUAACGGAGCACCUAGGCGACGACCCCUAGCUGGUCGGAGAGGAUGACCAGCCACACAGGAACUGAGACACGGUCCAGACUAAUCCGGGAGGCAGCAGUGGGGAAUAUUGCACAAGGGGCGCGACCCUGAUGCAGACAUGCCGCGUGUAUGAAGAAGGCCUUCGGGUUGUAAAGUACUUUCAGCUGGGAGGCGUUACUAGAAGAAGAAGCACCGGCUAACUCCGUGCCAGCAGCCGCGGUAAUAC
rnacentral:rRNA from 1 species